UACGAAGGGUGCAAGCGUUACUCGGAAUUACUGGGCGUAAAGCGCACGCAGGCGGUCUGCUAAGUUUGGAGUGACAGUUGGUGGCUUAACUGCCAAAGUGCUUCGAAAACUGACAGACUUGAGGGCUUCAGAGGGACACGGAAUUCCGGGUGGAGUGGUGAAAUGCGUAGAGAUCCGGAGGAACACCAAAGGCGAAGGCAGUGUCCUGGGGAGUACCUGACGCUCAGGUGCGAAAGCCAGGGGAGCGAACGGG
rnacentral:rRNA from 1 species